rnacentral:lncRNA from 1 species
UUCAAUUAAUUAAGAUUACUUUUAUAUUUUUAUAUUAUAAAUUGUAUAUAAUUUUAGAAUGAGAAAUUAGUUUUGGGUUGGUUUAUCCCGUCUUUAUGAAUUUUGUAGUCCAUUUUUAGUCUUGGACCCAAUUUUAAGGCCCAAAUAACCUAAGCCCAAUACCCAACACCCAAACCUAAGACCUAACCUUCAGCACCCUAUACAUAUACAAGACCUAAAAUAACCAAGACCCAUAGACAUCAUCAGCCGUUUUUUAAAGGAAAAAGAACUGAAAAAUGAAAAAGGCUCUUCUUCUUCAUGAAGAUUGAACAAAAUGCAGAACCCUAGUCUUCUUCUUCAUGGCAACAAUGGAAACCUGAAGAUCAGGCCUAAACCAAAAGCGACCCCAUCUCCACCAUCUUCUUCAGCAAGCAAAAACGCCUAAGUCUAGGAAUCAGCCGCAAUAACACAAAAAAUCAAGUCCCCCACGUCGAUCUUCUUCUGCUCGAAUAUAAACAGCCAUUUUAGACUUUCUUCUACAAACAAGAAUAGCCAUAGUCGACGAGCCAUUCCAUUGGAUUUUCGAUCAAAAAAAAACUUCUUCUUCUUGCUGGAAAAUGCAACAACAUAACCAUGAAAAACGAUCUCGAAAACCUAUCUAAACAAGCAGAGUUCGAGUCAAGAUAGUCGAGCCGAGCAACAAAACUUCGUCGAAAUUCAGUGGAGCUUCUCGUGGAGGUUCUGUUCGAGGUCUCUGAUCGAUGGAUCGAUUUUGGUCUUUUGGUUCGAAAGUUUUCUUUUAGUUCGUUUCAUUGUCGAUCCCGUCAGUUUGAGGUUAAUUUCCUCCCCUUUCUUUUUGUGUGUUCUUAUGUUUUUGUAUCUAGUCACACCAGUUGGUUUUGAUGAAUUUAAUGCAACUUUACAUCUUGGCCUUACAUGAUUAAUAUAUGUUUGGACCUAGUAUUUUCCUGAAGGAAGACAUAUACUUAGUAAUUCUUAUUGUAGGAUCUGCUAAGUAAAUGAUGUUGGGGAAGUAGUGGUUUGGGGAUAGAAAAUGAAAUCUAAGUUUCAGAUUAUUAUUUUUCGUAAUAGGAUUUUCUUUAGUUGAGCUAUAGUUUAAAUUGAUAUUUUUAUGUCAACGUUAGGAGCAUGUUAGGUCGACCAUACCCGGGGAGGCAAACCUUUAGGCAUGUAAUUAAAUCAUCACAACUACGGGUAUGAUUCUCAUGGCGUGGUUGUGAUACUUAAUUUCAAAUUAGUUGUAAAAUUGAAUAUCCAUAGUUCACUUAGUUGAAUGUCUUUCCUUUAAUAAAAUCUAGUUGCGUCAUACGCAAACAAAAUCCAUAAUCUAUGGACUUCAUAUUAAUUAUCUUAACUAGUGUAAAAAAUGCCUUGAACUUUCGGAGUUUCCUUUAAGCGCGUUAAUUAAAUAAUUGUCAUGGCUAUGGGUACGGCUCCCGUGACGUAGUUGUGAUGCUUAAUUUUUAAAAUCCGGGGGUACAUUUAUGUGACCCGGCCAUAAUUUAAUUUUGUUAAUAAAACAAACAUGUUGUAGAUUGUGGGUACAGUUCCCGUGACAUGAUUCGCAACGUGUAAUCAAAUAAUUAGUUGUAUAACAAUCAGAUUAUUAAAAGCGGUUUAAAAGGAUUAAAAUGCACAUAGGUUUCAAAGUUGUUUUAAAAUCAAAUAAAUAGGCCAAUAAUAUAGUUGAGCGGCCGUGCUAAAACCACGGAACCUGGGAAUGCCUAAUACCUUCUCCCGGAUUAACAAAAUUCCUUACCCGGAUUUCUGUAUUUCGCGGACUGUAAAACAGAGUCAAUCUCCCUCGAUUCGGGAUUUAAACUGGUGACUUGGGACACCAUAAAUCAUCCCAAGUGGCGACUCUGAUUCUUAAAUAAAAUAAUCCAGUUUCGAUUGUCACUUAAAUUGGGAAAAAACUCCUUUAUACCCCUUUCGAGGGUAGUAAAGAGGAGGUGUGACAUCAAUUAUGUGUCGGGUCGGAUAAUUUAUCCAUUUUUAAAAUUAUCCGCUUUGAAUCGCUCAUAUCUGACCAGACUCGCCCGUUUGUCACCCUUAUAUAUAACUAAUAAAAACAACUACAACUCGAUACAAUAAAUCCAAAAAUACUGGUGUCACAAAGUGCAUGAGCUACUAAGUGUCAACACAGUCUAAAUCUCUAAUAGAAAUGUCUGGAAAAUAGAACAGUAAUGAAUAAACUAAAAGGAAAGAGAGUCGAGGUCUGUGGGCUUCAUAGCAGCUACCUCUAUAGUCUCCGAGCAGAUACUGCACCAAAUCUAGCAACCACCGUGUUCAGAUGUACCUAGAUCUGCACACGAAGUGCAGAUUGUAGUAUGACUACAAUCGACCCAAUGUACUCAAUAAGUAACCGGACUAAACUUGGGCUGAAAGCAGUGACGAGCUCAGAAAGAUACAGUCUGAAUCCAGAUAAUGACAACACAGAUAUAAUAGGGUAAUGACAGUAAUAACUCAAAGAAAAUUCCCUAUGUAGCUCGUACAUAGUACAGAAAUUAGGCAUGCUUUCAAGUUUAACAAUUUUAGCUAAAUACUGAUAAGAUAUGCCAAGUACAUAUAGCAUGAGUAAUGUUACAUCUCUAUAACUACAUGUCAGAUAUUCAUGUCAAAUGUAAUGUAUCACAGUGAUACUCCCAGGCACUCACGCUCUCAGAGUAUUCAAUCUGUCUGUUUCAAACUCCCACUCAUCACACACAAUCCCUCAGUACUGUACGGUACCAGCGCUCACUACUGGUAUGUCAGACUUCAGAGGGGAGGAUCAUGCCCAAGCACUAAUAUAAAGCCAUAUGGCCUGCUAUGCCAUAGCCUGAUCAUAUAAUAAGCAAAUAAAGCAUUCUAUAACGUGCAGCCCAAUCCCAUAAAUGAGUCAACAAGGCAUGUUGUGGCAUGCAUCCCAAUCCCAAAAUAUCACUCACAAUCUAGCUCGCAUGCCUCAACUCAGUCAUCAUUCUCUCUAGUCUCACAGGCUCACAAAUCUCAUACCACUAAGGCCGAACAAUGAUAACAUCAUGUAACAAUAAAUGAUAAUGAAGACUGAGAUAUAAUAUGCAAAUGAAUGAAUAUGAAAUGAGUACAUAAUUGCAACUUAAGCAAAUAACUCAACAGCAGAAAUGACCUCAGUGGGUCCCAAUAGAAUAAGCACAUAGCCUAAACCUGAUUUUUAACAUGGAUCACAACUCAAUUACUCUAACACAUAGGAAUUAUAUGGAUAGAAACAAGAUUAGGUGACUACACAACACCACAAAAUCAACCGAGUCAUAAUUACCACGGUGCAUGCCCACACGCCUAUCACCUAACAUGUGUGUCACCCCAAAACCAACCAUAUAACAUGUAUUCUAGGGAUUCAUCCCCUCAGUAUCAAGUUUGGAAAUAUUACUUACCUCAAAGUGCGCAACAAUACUCCAACAAACCAUUACCUCGCAAAUUGGCCUCCGAACGACUCAAAUCUAGUCACAAACAACUUAAAAUAAUCAAUAUAGGCUAUAGGAAUCGAUUCCAUACGAUAAAGCUAAGCUCUUUAACCAAAUUCAAAAAGUCAACACAAAAGGUCAACCCCCAAGCCCACGCCUCAUAACCCUAUAAAAUUCACAAAAUUCGAAAACGCAUUCAAUAACGCCUCCAACUAUACCAAAAUCAUCCAAUUUCGACCCUCAAAUCCCAAAUCUUACUCUCCAAUCCCUAGUCCAAAAUCCCCUAAAUUUCACCUCAAAAACACAAUCUUGGUGGGAAAAUAAAUGGGUAUUUAAUGUUAAUGAAUAAAAACGAUCAAAAGUUGCUUACCUAUUAAAAUCUAGUGAAACCCCUCUCAAAAUAGCCAGUAGCCAAGCUUACAAAGUACAAAAUAAGAGAAAUCAAGAAACCCUUCUAUUUUAUUCUUCUGUCAAUGAUUCUGCAGCUGCGGUCACUUAACCUGUUACAACCUAUAUUAACGUACGUUAGUUUAUGCAGUAACUUAGUCAACGUAAAUCCAAGAAGAGAUUAUCUUUUAGAUGAUAAGAAGUUAAUCUUAUUGGUCUUAGAUGAUACAAAGGUGUAUAAGGGUGGUUAACAAGUAUUAGAAGUUAAACGAAUCAAGGAUGUUGUCAGCCGUACUUUUAGGUAAACCUAGAGGUGCUUAAUAUACUCAAGAGUUUGUGUUUUAAGGUAUUUGAAUCAUAUAAUAUCCGUAUCAUAAGCCUUGAGGUCAAACAAGUUAUGAAACAAAAGUCGAUAAAAGUUGUCGCAACUUACGUUCAUAAUUUUACGUAAACUUUAGGUCAAAUGUUACUAAUAUUUUCUCCUAAUUUACUUUAAAUUAUGGGGUGAUAUACCCAUAAAUUGAAGAUCUAUGAGUCUAGUUUCCAACACAUUUAACAGUUCGUCGAUAUGAUAUCGGAGUAGAGAGAUAUUCACGUUUUCACGAGACUGUGCUAAGCACCUCUCUAUGGGUCCCACAUAGUCGGGUUAAGAGAUAUGGAUAUAUAUAAUAUGCCUAGAACCCGUUUUAAGCCAUUUAUUUUUAGUAGAUUCAUAUUUAUAACCCUAGAAUCACCAUCUCAAGGUUCUCUCAAGAUACAAGACCCAAACAAAGGGCAAACAACACAAAUCAAGUGUCGGGAAUCCAAUGGCGCUAGUAAGUUUCUUGUUAUUCUUGUUGUUGCUCAUUUUUGUGUUGUUUCAGCUCAUGUGGGAGGUUGUUUUAAGGGUUUUAUAUUCUGUAAAUACUCUCUCAAGUUUUUAAUAUCAACCCUAGGUGAUUUCAAGCCUUCUAAAGUGAUUCUAGUAUCGAAAAACCCUAAUUGAUUACUAGUUUCGCUUCCUUGUUGUGGCAGCAUAGGAGGGAUAUUUCGUGGACAAUUAAGUUCAAAUUAGAGUUGUUAUUUAUGUCUAAAGGUAAAUAACCUCUUACUCUAUAUGUAUUUAAGAUUAUCCAAGUUGCGGCUAAGUCAUUAAAGCUAGAACUUGUGAAAUAUAUAUCGAAAGGCUUGGUAGUAAUGAUGUCGGUUGGUGGAUUGUUUUGGGAGGCUCAAUAUGAUUAAUAUUGAUGUUGUUUAGGCUUUUUGUGAUUGUUUUCACUUGUGGGAAGUCAUAUAAAUAGGGGAUGUGUUUUCCGUUUCAUCAUAAAAUAGGUUGUGGUCGGUACAUAAUAGUUACGACGCGUAAACAUUAACGAUAGUGUCAUUUCUCCUAUUGUAGACUAAGGAGUCGUGACUUUUUCAUAGCUUGAGGUUGGGCAGUAUAUACAAGGUAUGUGAGGCUACCCCUUUCCUUCUUUUGCACGACUCUGAUUGUACAUAAUGUAAGAACGAGCUUCCAAAGAUACUCUACUCUUAGAAGCUAGCAGUACUUACAUUGUUUCCCCUCUUAUGGAACGAUUGAUGUUGAUGUUGCUUCUCUUAUUCUUAUGUUAUCAAUGUUGUUGGUACUUACUGAUUCUUAUAAGGUUCAUAGUGAAGAGUUAGUCCUAAUAACGUAUACAGAGGAUACCGACCUUACGUUACUCCGAAAGGUUUAGAACGUGAUUCUAUGAGACGAGUAUGCAUUAUAUAUAUGUAUCUAUUUUACUCUACCAAGCCGCGCUAUAGUCGGCCAGGUAUGGUACCUAUUGUGCAACCACUGAUCAGUUGGGUUUUACCAAGCUCCACGUGGCCGGAUACGAUUCUACUGAGCCUUAUGAUGGUCAGAUACAUUUUUACCGAAUCCUCUUUGAGGCCGGGUACGAUAUGAUGAUGAUGAUGAUGCCUACAGAGGCAUGUGUUUUAAAAGCUUAUGUAUAUAUGUGUAUGUAUCAUGCAUUUCAUAUAAGUAGCCUACAGAGGUACCCAGAUGUUACAUGUUGUAUAUUCUCUAUCCUUGUUCACAUUACAGUUCAUACUUAUGCUUUUCUGCUAUCACGACCCAAUCCGAUAGGCCGCGACGGGCACCCGGUACCUUACUCAACCGUGUACCAAAAACGUAUCUUUCUUAUUACAUUAUCAUAUACACGUGACAUACGGGCCUAAUAGGCCAACAUGAUUAUUUAUAAAAACUCAAAAAAUAUAAAGGCCGACAAAGGCCGUACAAAUCUNNNNNNNNNNNNNNNNNNNNNNNNNAUAUAUAUAACUGCCCUGCCGUAGUAGGCUCGCUCAUAGGCGCUCGGCCAUACUAGGCUCUGUGUCUCGACUAACUGGGCUCGCUCAUAAGUGCUCAGCCACAAUAGGCUCUGUAUAUAACUUACCAUCUUAUCAGAGGUUGUCCAAUAGGGGACUGCCCAUCGAUUAUAGCGUGAUUGUAAUAAAAACACUUUAAUACUGUAUAUAUAAAUUCACUGCUCUCUUGACUAGAAGAAUAAAUAUAUACUCAAUUGAAUAUGAAGUCCCGAUAAGGAGAAUAUUGUAAUUUACAAAACUAGAAAAAUAUACUUAGUUUGCGAGACUAGCAAAAUAUAUGUAAAUUUCGGAAUAUGAAUUUUUCUUUAUGCUUCAUUAUUAAACUUGUGUAAUGACGAGAUCAUGCCAAAAUGAAGGAAGAGAUUAGCCAUAAUAUACCUGAACCGAUUCUCCUGACAAUCCCUUUAACACUCGUUGAUUGCAACAACACUUAAUGGCGGAUCGAAGUAGGGGAAAAUCCAUGAACUCGUACGAUACUGAAUUCUUGAAAGCUCAUAUUUUUGAAUAAUGUAAUCUUCACGUUUUUGAAGAAUGAAAUCUUCAUAUUGAUAAGGUUUCUUAGCAUUCUGGUUGAAUUUAGGUGAAAGAGUGAAAUUUUUUCAUUUUGACUAAAAAUCUAAGCUUUUGAAAAGACCAAGAUUCAAGCCUAUCUUGUAAUUCUUACACGUUUUUAGCCACUAAGAACCUAUGACUUAUUAGUCAUAGAUUUGAAUGGUGGCCUACUGCCACGUGGCGAGUGGGAUGGAAAUUAUUAAUCUUUACCCACUUAUUAGUUAACUGGGUAUUAUCCCGUUUAUCCGAUAAUUAAUCAAUUACCCACAUAAUUUAAAAAUUACCCCAAAUUAUUUAAAAUUCUACUUAUUUUUAAUGUACUUUUUAUACAUUAUACUAUAGUGGUCAUAUGGUACCUUGCAUGGUACUAGUUCAUAAAUACCGAGUAUUUUAGCUCGGGCCGUAUUUUAUCCCAAAAUGCCAAACUUCGACAAAAUUCAUUUUUUUUACUUGCUCCCCCUUUCACCUUCAUGAAUUUACUAAUCACUUGUGAAAUAGCAUAAUCCCUAUAAUCUCCAAAUAAUCGUUUCCUUGGACUGAUGUCAAUUACCUUACGGCAAAUUCAACGUAAAAUACUGCAGGGUGCAACAUCGUCGUAACUUAUUACUGCGAAGCGUAACAUCACCAUAAUAUAAUACUACAGGGUGCAACACUAUCGUAACUUAAUACUACAGGAUGUAACAUCAAUUGUAAUAUAUUACUGCAGAGCAAAACAUCGACAUAAUACUGCUUACUACUUUUGUCACGACCCAAUCCGAUGGACCGCGAUGGGCAUCUGAUACCUUACUCAACCGAGUACCAAUGUAACAUAUCUUUCUUAUUACAUCAUCAUGUACACGUGACAUACGGGCCUAAUAGGCCAACGUGAUUAUUUAUAAACUCAAAACAUAGGCCGACAAGGUCGUACAAUCUUUCACGUACAUGACAUAUGUCUACAAGCCUCUAAGAAUACAUAAAUGUCAUAAAGGUCGGGACAGAUACUCGCCAUACCAAACAAUACACGUCUAAAUCAUACUAACCAAACAAGCAACUCCGAAGCAAAUGGAGCGCACCAACAUUUCCCGCUGAGCUGAUAGCCUACUUGGAGGUCUCUCGGCCUGUCUAUUGGGACCUACGGGCAUGAAACACAGUGUCCCCAGGAAAAAAAGACGUCAUUACGAAAUAAUGUACCGAGUAUUGUAAGGCAAUAUACUGAAAGCUGAAACUGAACUGAUAAUAUAAUAACUGCAAGUAGCUGGAAGUUAAAGAUAAUCUGAAGAUAUGCUUACCUGCUGAUACUGACUCAACUCUCUCAAUAUAGUAAGUAAAAUAGUUGUCCGGCCCUAUAAGGUUCAAUAUAACUGCUCUGUCGUAGUAAGCUCGUUCAUAGGCGUUCGUCCAUACUAGGCUCUGUAUCUCGACCAACUAAGCUCGCUCAUAAGCGCUCAGCCACAAUACUCUCGGUAUAUAACUUACCAUCUGAUCAGAGGUUGCCCAAUAGGGGCCUGCCCAUCGAUUAUAGCUCGAUGGUAAUAAAAAUACUUUAAUACUGUAUAUAUAAAUUCUCUGCUCUCUUGACUGGAAGAAGAAAAAUAUACUCAAUUGAAUAUGAACUCCCGAUAAGGAGAAUAUUGUAACUUACAAAACUAGAAAAAUAUACUUAAUUUGCGAGACUAGCAAAAUAUACGUAAAUUCUGGGAUAUGAAUUUUUCUUUAUGCUUCGUUAUCAAACUUGUGUAAUGACGAGAUCAUGCAAAAAUGAAGGAAGAGAUUAGCCUUAACAUACCUGAACCGAUUCUCCUGACAAUCCCUUUAACACCUGUUGAUUGCGACAACACGUAACGGCAGAUCGAAGUAGGGGAAAAUCCAUGAACUCGUACGUUACUGAAUUCUUGAAAGUUCAUAUUUUUUAAUAAUGUAAUCUUCACGUUUUUGAAGAAUGAAAUCUUCAUAUUGAUAAGGUUUCUUAGCAUUCUGGUUAAAUUUAGGUGAAAGAGUGAAAUUUUUUAUUUUGACUAAAAAUCUAAGCUUUUUAAAAGUCCAAGAUUCAAGCCUAUCUUGUAAUUCUUACACGUUUUUAGCCACUAAGAACCUAUGGCUUAUUAGUCAUAGGUUUGAAUUGUGGCCUACUCCCACGUGGAGAGUGGGGUGGAGAUUAUUAAUCUUUACCUACUUAUUAGUUAAUUGGGUAUUGUCCUAUUAUCCGGUAAUUAACCAAUCACCCGCAUAUUUUAAAAAUUACCUCAAAUUAUUUAAAUUUCUACUUAUUUUUAAUAUACUUUUUAUACAUUAUACUACCGUGGUCAUAUGAUACCUUGAAUGGUACUAGUCCAUAAAUACCGAGUAUUUUAGCUCGGACCGUAUUUUAUCCCAAAAUGCCAAACUUCGACAAAAUUCAUUUUCUUUGACUUGCUCCUCCUUUCACCUUCAUGAAUUUACUAAUCACUUGUGAAAUAGCAUAAUCCUUAUAAUCCCCAAAUAAUCUUUUCCUUGGACUAAUGUAAAUUACCUUACGACAAAUUCAACGUAAAAUACUACAGGGUGCAACAUUGUUGUAACUUAUUACUGCGAAGCGUAACAUCACCGUAAUGUAAUACUACAGGGUAAAACACUGUCGUAACUUAAUACUGCAGGACGUAACAACAAUUGUAAUGUAUUAUUGCAGAGCAUAACACCGACGUAAUACUACGGGGCGUAACACCUGUCUUGCAUACUCAGUACUUUAUUCAUACUAAUGUCCUUUUUAUUUGUGGACGUUGCAUGUCGUACUGCAGGUCUUGAUAGUCAGGUAGACGCAGCUCCCCCAACACAGUAAGCUGCCCAGUUUAGCGGUUAUUGGCGAGGUCCCUUCUCCGGACUUGCCGUGGUCUUGGUAUGCAUUUUGUUAUAGAUAUUAUGGGUAUGUCAGGGCCUUGUUCCGGCAAUGUUGCAGCACUUAUAUUCCUUUAGAGGCUCAUAGAUAGGCGUCAACUCAUGUAUAGUUUGGUAUGCCUUGUCGGUUGAUUUUUGCUGUAUAGUCUUUCAUGGCAGCGUGGUAGCUCGUACCUUAUAUAUAGUUUCUUGGUUAUCUGGUCAUCCCAUGUUAUGUAUGUUCAU